GGCGUGCUCACAGUAGUUCGUCCCUUCGGGGACAUCCGAUAAAAUUGGAACGAUACAGAGAAGAUUAGCAUGGCCCCUGCGCAAGGAUGACACGCAUAAAUCGAGAAAUGGUCCAAAUUUUUUUUGUGUUUUUUUCCCAAAAUUUUCAACUAGAACGCUUGAUGUUUUCAGGAUUGAAGUGCUUCAGGGAUUGUUCCUUCUGAGUUCUGAUUCUUCGGUCAUUUCUGAGCUGAUGAAGUAUAUAGAUAGUUUGAUAUCAGUAUUCGAUGUGACGAACAAAGGAGGAUUAGGCCUGGGAGUGGGAGAUGGAGCUGGUGUCAAUGGGGAGCCGAAAUUCCCUUCUGGAGAAAACAGAAGUUCGGAACAUUGUUAAUAAUUUCGGAUUCUAGGUUAAUGUGGCUCCGUGUAUCUCUGACACUCGUGAGACUGGCAAAAUAGGUAAGAAACUAUUUCAUAAAGUGCGUAGUUGAUUUGGAGAGAUGGGGUAAUGUAUUUCAGAAUGAGAAGGUGAUGCAUUCUUAAGUGCCAGACAUUAUAUAUAGUUCAUUGGGUUUUUAAUGCUUGAAGCAUGUCGAUGUAGAAGUAUAAUGACGGUAAUACGGCAUAAUUUUUCAUAUAUGUUUUUGUUGGGAACAUUGAGUAGCAUGGCAUUUUGAAAUUA